rnacentral:lncRNA from 1 species
AUGCCGUACAGCCGCCGCCGCCGCCGCCAACCCCACGGCAGCCGUGCCAUAGGGAGACUCCUUGUCCAGCAGCGCCGGCGAACGGCUGCUACGCCUCCGGCUGCUCCCUCCGCCGCUCCCCACGUAGACGGCCUCGAUUUUCAGCGGGCGGUCGUAGAGCACGAGGCGGCCGCGGGCGUGCUUGGCGGCGCGGGCAUCCUCGGGCCGGCGGAAGUUGACGAAGGCCACACGCUCGUCAGCGGCGCCGGUGCCGGGCGGCCUCACCGACGGACUGACCGCCGCGCUCACGCAUCCGCCGCCAUCUUGGAAGCCGCGGCCGCCGCCGACCCCACCCCCUCGGCGCCCAUUGGCCGCUCGGCGCCUCGCGCCCACCCUCUCGCUCCCGCCGGGCGGAAGACCCGCCCAGCAUCCCCCUCGAUUCCCGUUCCCAUUGGCUCAGGGAGAUGUCUGUCUACGGGCCGGCCUCGCGCGCCGGGAAGAGCCGCCCUCCAUCCGCCCCGCCCCGGUCGCUCAUUGGAUGGUUAGAAAGGGCGCGGCCUUCUGAUUGGUCGCCCUCUGCUGUCACUAGGAGCGGCUCGGCGGCGAGGGGCCUCUUUUAUUCAUUGGCCACUGGGAGAACGCCUCUCCUCCUUCUGAUUGGUUUUCCCACCUGCCAGUUGUCGCGGUCCCACUGCCCCGCCGCUCUCAAUUGGUCCGCGGGUUCCCGUCGUCCCUCUCAAAUUCUCGCGAGCUGCACUUUACCCCCCCCCUUUCUCCAUUGGACACUGCUAACCUGGCUUUCCUUGCUGUGAUUGGCUGAAGCCAACGCCACUCCUGAAGAAGCGCGGGCUGCUGCCCACGCUCCGCUCUUCGUUUACCAUUGGACGAGAAAACCUCCCCAGACUUCUGAUUGGAUGCAGCCAGGAGCUUACGGAUAGGCUAACGCGGUGGUCAGUCAGGCGCGCUCUGAGUUUGAUUGGUCUCCUCGGGGAGGUGGGCGGUGCCUGCACGGCUCCGUGCCACCCGUGGAAAUGAAAUCGCUCCCCGGGAACGUCUCCAUCCGACAGAGGGAGAACGGAAUCAGUUUUUUUUAAUUGCAGCCCAUUAGGCCGCGCUUCUCUCUGUCACAUCACCUCCUUCUGACAGGGAUGGUUCACCAAAGCUCCCAAAACCAAAUGGGUUUGGAGCGGUGGGUAAAUAGCGGCUGUCUAAAGAUCCAGACGAAGCAGCGCAGAGCAAUGCGAGGGAGGACGCCGGGGGCAGGCACGGAGCCCGGCAGGCGUGGGAUCGUGUCUGAUCCACGCUGCUGUCCUGGGCGGACACGGCGGAAGGAGGGAGCCUGGGAUCUUCUUUUUUCCCCGCUCAGAAAAUCGCUGUCCUGUCCCAGCGCUAAUGUUGGAUGCCUCCCUUCCAGGACCUGUGCUGCUAGGAAGGGUCCUGCAGCCCGAGCUGCGGGAAGGAGACCCAGCCCACAGCAUGCUUUGGGGAGCAGAAUAUUCCAGGAAUAAAAUUAAAAAACAAAAAAAAACCA